ACAUUUUACUGAGUGUUUUUUCUAUCGCAGACACUGUGUCAAGCCGUUUCCACUGGAACAGGAGCACAAUAUGGCUCAGGGUGGGCCUAAUAUAAUCACAAGAGUCCUUGUAAGCAGAAGGCAGGAGGCUCAACGUCAUAGAGAAAAGGCGUAAGAAGUAGCAACACUGGUCAGACUGGAGAGAAGGUGGAGAAAGGGGCCACAAGCCAAGGAAUGCUAACAGCCUUCAGAAACUGGCAACAGACUCUACCCUGAAACCUUCAGAAGGAGCGCAGCCCUGACAACACCUUGAUUUUAGACUUCUGACCUCCAGAACUCGGCAGUAGGAAACUUAUACACACUAUAAAUGGAAGAGUUCAAGGCUUUGAAUUUAGGCAUCGUGACAUGAAGUCUCUUUUUGACUGAAUUAGUAAGAUUUCCC